rnacentral:rRNA from 1 species
GACGAACGCUGGCGGCGUGCUUAACACAUGCAAGUCGAACGAAGAGCGAUGGAAGCUUGCUUCUAUCAAUCUUAGUGGUGAACGGGUGAGUAACGCGUAAUCAACCUGCCCUUCAGAGGGGGACAACAGUUGGAAACGACUGCUAAUACCGCAUACGAUCUAAACUCGGCAUCGAGGAUAGAUGAAAGGUGGCCUCUACAUGUAAGCUAUCACUGAAGGAGGGGAUUGCGUCUGAUUAGCUAGUUGGAGGGGUAACGGCCCACCAAGGCGAUGAUCAGUAGCCGGUCUGAGAGGAUGAACGGCCACAUUGGGACUGAGACACGGCCCAGACUCCUACGGGAGGCAGCAGUGGGGAAUCUUCCGCAAUGGACGAAAGUCUGACGGAGCAACGCCGCGUGAGUGAUGACGGCCUUCGGGUUGUAAAGCUCUGUUAAUCGGGGCGAAAGGCCUUCUUGCGAAUAGUGAGAAGGAUUGACGGUACCGGAAUAGAAAGCCACGGCUAACUACGUG